GGGGAAAUAGCUAAGUUGUUUAGAAUCAUGGUCUGUCACACCAGACGUCGCGGGUUCGAACCCCGUUUUUCCUG
rnacentral:tRNA from 1 species